rnacentral:piRNA from 1 species
UAAUUAUCUAAGUACAAACUCAAUUCCAGA